rnacentral:rRNA from 1 species
UGGGGAAUAUUGCACAAUGGGCGAAAGCCUGAUGCAGCAACGCCGCGUGAGUGAUGAAGGCCUUCGGGUCGUAAAACUCUGUCCUCAAGGAAGAUAAUGACGGUACUUGAGGAGGAAGCCCCGGCUAACUACGUGCCAGCAGCCGCGGUAAUACGUAGGGGGCUAGCGUUAUCCGGAUUUACUGGGCGUAAAGGGUGCGUAGGCGGUCUUUCAAGUCAGGAGUGAAAGGCUACGGCUCAACCGUAGUAAGCUCUUGAAACUGGGAGACUUGAGUGCAGGAGAGGAGAGUGGAAUUCCUAGUGUAGCGGUGAAAUGCGUAGAUAUUAGGAGGAACACCAGUUGCGAAGGCGGCUCUCUGGACUGUAACUGACGCUGAGGCACGAAAGCGUGGGGAGCAAACAGG